ensembl:lncRNA
CAGAAACCAUGACAGAGCUGCGCUUCGGCUCUUGCCUAUGGUCUGCUGAUGAGAAGAGCACAUACUUAAACUUUUGUUCAGCAGAGUUGAACUGCCUCGUGUGGCAUUGGUGGUAUAGAGGUGAGCAUAGCUGCCUUCCAAGUAGUUGACCUGCGUUUGAUUCCUGGCCAAUGCACGGAUUGUAACUAGGAGCUUCUGGAGCUACUUUAUGAUAGUUGGCACAAAAGGAAGGAAUCACUUACCUGAAAGUAAAUGUGUCAACAGAAUGUGCCAUAGGCUUAUCUGCAGGCCUCCCACAACUCUUUCUGCUUCCCACUUGAAUUCUUAGUGCUUCUUUGCUGUUUGUAAACACAGUAUUAUCCAACAGGGCACGUUUGACCCGUGAACAGGGGCGAAAAUGUUAGAACAUGCGGUCUCUCCGUGUCUGUCUUUUGUUAGCGACAAGCUAGCAUGCAAACUGUGAUGAGAGGUGUACAUUU